rnacentral:rRNA from 1 species
GACAGAGGGGCCGAGCGUUAGGCGGAAUCACUGGGCUUAAAGCGUGUGUAGGCGGGCGAUCAAGUACCUUGUGAAAUCCCACGGCUCAACCGUGGAACCGCUGGGUAUACUGGUUGUCUUGAGCCGGCUAGGGGCGAGCGGAACAGACGGUGGAGCGGUGAAAUGCGUAGAUAUCGUCUGGAACGCCGAAGGUGAAAACAGCUCGCUGGGGCCGCGCUGACGCUGAGACACGAAAGCCAGGGGAGCGAACGGG